GAAAGCUUCACGGCUGUGAGUGUAUGUGCAACAUACUUUUAUAGCUCUCUUUCCAUUCUUGGUGUUUAUUUUUGCAUUUUUCACUGUGAUUCCUCCAAUUUACAGGUUUGGUUUUUUUCCUCCUUCUUGCAGAACUUGAAAGAGACACCCGUGGGUUGCUGACCUCUGUCAGUGAUGGUGUCUGCGGAGAUUGCAGCUGCUAUUUAUCUGCCUGCACACAGAUCACUUCACAGUUCUCCCAGACAGUUUUCAACCACGCAUAGUGGGAGCUGUCCUAUUUUCCUUGUUGUUGUCCUCAUCCUGUGUAUGGGAACUGUUGAAUCAUGGCCUGAACCUCUGAUUGACCACCUGAGGCGAGUGCUGAGUCAGUCGCAGGGGCACAGGUGAAGGCAAUUUCACCUGAGUGACCGGAAGGGGUGGAUCCUGGCUGCACCCCUCCUAGGCCCCAUUUAAGGGCUGACUCCCAAGGAGGAUGGGUCUCUAUCUGGAGAUCACUCCUCUUGGAGCCCUUCUGUGAGCCCAGGACACAGGUUUCGUGUUUAUAGAACGAAGAAGGACAUCUUGUAAAGGCGCCUUUUCAUGUGCGGAGAGACCAUAAAAAUAUCAAGACCCCAGAAUGUUAAAGAGAAUCAGGAAUGCACAUGGAAAAUGCUACACUAAUCACUGAAUUUCUGCUCCCAAAGACCUCUGUUUACUGAGCUGCAGCCAGCCCUGAUGAGCUUGGAGUAUGCCAGCAAAAGUGUGCAUAUCAGAAAGCUGCUGUGGAGUACAUGUUGUGAAGUGUAUGGGAACUGUUGAAUCACGGCCUGAACCUCUGAUUGACCACCUGAGGACAAACCUAGAGGUUUCAUCCCAAAAGAACAAACUUCUAGCAAAAGGCAUGGAUUAAGGAAAAAAGCUCAGGUUGGCCAGAAAUGGUGGGUGGGGAAGAGGACAUAACAGAACGAAAGCCAAGAAGAAAAUUGCAGCAAAGGGAUGGAGGAGUGCUGCUUAACCGUCUGUCUCCUGAAGUCUUCAGAUGGUGACUAGAUGCCUACAGAUAAGACAUUUUUUUAAUCAAGAAGUUAGAGAACUCCCUAGCAGAAAUGACAUGGAGUGAGUCAUAUGGUAGAUCAGACCAGAUCAUCUAAGAAAAUAUUCAGUCUUUCAAAUAUGCAUCCCUUUGAAUUCAGGUAAUAUUUUUUCCCCCGAGACAAGAGUCAAAGACCAGAUCUUCCUUAAUCAGAUGUUUCAGUGGGAAGAGAAGCUUUAGGGGACCUACAUGACAUUUUAAAGAGACCUAAAUAUUAGAGUAGGGGUAGGACAACUUGGCAGGAGAUGCUGAUUGAAAUUAUGGCUUCAUUGAGCCCAAGUGGGAAUUUGAAUUCAGGGGCCUAAGUUACCACCCAGUGUGUCAAUGGGAAAACUGCCAGUGUAAAACUGAGGGGAAAAAAAAAUGGUAUGAGAUGUUUGGCCUCAGGAAACAAAAUAGAAAUGAUGAGAGUCCCUGUUUCCCACCUCCCCUCAAAAAACAAAACAAAAAAAAAAAAAGAGAUGAGCAAAAUGGAGAGUGACACCAGAUUCAAUGAUCUGUCUCAGCACAAGCUAUGUGUAAGGCAAGAAGCUCUUCUUUUCUUCUAAUACAUAAGAUCAAUAAUGGAGGGUCUGAGAAAUCGCACAGAUUGAACACAACAAGGUCAGGUAUUGAGUUCACAGAGCCAUGGAAUAGUUGAGGUUGGAAGGGACUGCUGGAGAACUCUUACUCAAGCUGGGUCACCUUGCACAGCUUCCCACUACUCUGUCCAGGUGGUUCCAUCCCACAGAAGCAUCCAAGGACAUAUUCUGCUCUUCAGUAAAAGCGUGAAAGAUCAUUGCGCCUCAUCAAAUCCCAGUAGUGAUGCUAUGAGACCUUUCUUUUAGGUGUAGACUCUCCUCUAGCUCUCUCAGUGCUGCUCUUUCUCACAUAGCCAUGGUUCUUCCAUGGCAAGAUGGGUUUGACUUGUGGAAAAAUAAUAAGCCCAGAGUUGUUAUGAGAGUCAGGGCAGAGCAUAAUUCUAAUUACAGGAAGCAGAAGCAAGAGGGGGGAACUUUUGGAGUGUUUUAUUGUAAUUUAAGUAGGCUUCUAAGAUGUGAGAAGCCAGCAAUGUUGUCAGAGGUUACAAGGAGUUUUCAUGCAAUCGCAAAUUCAUAUUUCUCUGUCCUAACACACAAUCUGGGAGAAGGGCAGCCAGAGGUAAGUGACAGAACCAGGAGGAGGAAGCGAGCUGUUAGCCGGCUCUGGUUUGUCUCUCCUUCUUAUCAGAUCAUAACUUCACAGUAGCACUUCCACUGUAAACUCCUUGUAGCCCUUCCAGAUUAACUUUCAAGCCUGCCUCCCUAACCUUGGGAAAUUUUAGACAUGCGAGAUCAGCUAACAAGGCAGGGGGAAGUUCUUUUGUCUGCAGUGGGAUCUUUCCAUGCUGCAGCUCGGCUUCCUUUACAUACAGGCCCUACUGAUUCCCCAGAGAGAUGGAGUAAACUAAUUGCUCAUCUGCUAUUAGGAUCAUCCCAAAAAAGAUUAAGACUGUGAAUGUUUGAUGGGCACAUCUCUGUCUUUUCUAGUUGGCUAAGAUUUCCUCUGCUGGAUGUGUAUGUCAGACUUCUACAAAAUCAACCCCCGCUCAACUACUCUGAGCUGGUAGGCAUCCUAAGUAAUGCUGUUGAAUAAACUGAAGUAAUUUGGGAUACAAUUUGGCAUAAGAGAUCACAAUUACUCUCCUGAGAUUAUUCCAGCAUUACAUCCACUUAUGAAACUACAAAAGAAAUCUGUCCACUGAAAUUCAUCUUCUAUGAAAGCUGCAGGAAGCGCUGACUGUCUACUUCCAGUGUGCCUGCCCAAAGGGAGACCUCUCUGCUGGAUCCCAACAAGAGGAGAUGACAAACAAGACAAGCGCAUUUCGUAGCACCCAUGACUCAGAUGGAGCAGAUCAGCUCUUCAGCUAUUGCUUCAUUAACCAAGGCUUGUUUGCUACAGACAUCACCAUCAAGAGUUUCCAGAGAUGCCACUGAAAGGCUUCUCAGUGUUGCAGAAAAAGCCACUGUUGCUUCCAAACUGCUAUAGGAACUGACAGGAGCGCUCCAUAUCCAGGUGCUGACUGACCACUGAAGAGCAGUUUGUAUGAAGAGCCUCAAAGGAGCUUCCAAAAGAAACUCAAAAACCUUGAGAUGGGGACCUUAGAAAUGAAAAGAUUGAAUGUCUUAUGACAGGCAAGCAAGGAGUCUGUGGCUGAAUCAUGGAGAAAACUCAAAUGUCCUGAGGAAUAAACACUCUGAGCAAUUUCUAGGUGACAGAAAACCAACUAGGAAAAAGCCCAGCAGGCCACAGAAAAUCAGAGAUAAGGGAAACAUCUGAAGGACUGGUGUAAAGCUACUCUGAAGCUGCCUCUCUGUGUGAUUAAGCAACUCCAAUUAGCAGCAGUGUCACAAACAGAACGCAUGAGGGCAUUUCUGCCAUUCCUGAGCCCUCAGCAAUCCGCUUGCUUUGGUAUUCUACGAUAGUCCCACCUCUCUUGGAGCCACGUGCAAAGCUCACAGACAUCAGCAGGAAUUGGAGCUGUUCUUAUUUCGCUUGUGAGCGCAGUAAGUUAUUGGUUGGGGAAAUGAGUCAGGAAGAAAAUAGUAAAAAAAAAAAGCAACCCCAAACAUCAGUCCUUGGUUCUGCCAUCUCCUGAGGUGCCCCAUGGUCAGCGUAGGAGACAGCGCCUCGGGGGUGGUGGGAAUUGCUGAUGUAGGUCUCCAGAGUGGAAUUUGCCUUGGAUGGAGACAGCACUGGUAGCUGCCCUACGUGCAUGGCUCUCCUCCAUUCCUACAUCCACUGACCUCUGCACCAAAAGCCCAUCCCAGUGCGUGUGUCCACAGCCUGAAAAAGCAGGCAGAGGCCAUGAGCAGGGAGAAGAGAGAAAAAGCAUUGGCAACUGGAGAUGUGGGUCUAGAACUCUUAACAAUAAGCUACUUAUCUUUGCCUCUGGUUACCACUGGGCAGCGAUUCCCUCGGCACAGCAGCAUGAUGUUGGGCCACACGCUGGCCAAGGCAGUGCCCAAUUGCCCACAGCCUGGAUGGGAACUCUUCCUUGAUGCAUCAGGGCAGGCUCCAGCCUCCAUCCCAGAGGCACCAACAGCCAAACACAGGUUUCUCUUCCUCAGGAGCACGGUGCUCAUGCUGCUCGCUUGUGGCUACGAACAGCAGAGGGGAAAACAAUGCGAUAAGUGCAGAAUGGUUUUAUUGUCAUGUCAACAAAAUAUUUUCUGCCUCCACAGACUGUGGAAGUGCUCAGCAUGCAGCACCCUUCCAGUUUUGGAAAACACUUGAAAACCACCGACAGAAUCUCACUAUUCCUUUUUUUAGCUCCAUAAUAAAAAGCAAACAAGAAAUAUGCUGAUCCCCAAAAUGAGCUUAUUUUUUUCCUUUUUUUUUUUAGCAAUUUAAUUUUUUAGCUUUGAUCUGAUACCAGAACCCAGAGGACUUACUUGCUAUUUCUAAAUAAUGAGUCUAAUGUUU
ensembl:lncRNA